AUUGAACGCUGGCGGCAGGCCUAACACAUGCAAGUCGAGCGGAGCGGCGGACGGGUGAGUAAUGCCUAGGAAUCUGCCUGGUAGUGGGGGAUAACGUCCGGAAACGGGCGCUAAUACCGCAUACUAUCAUAUGAGCCUAGGUCGGAGGAGCUAGUUGGUGGGGUAAAGGCCUACCAAGGAGACGAUCCGUAACUGGUCUGAGAGUAUGAUCAGUCAAACUGGAACUGAGAGACGGUCCAGACUCCUACGGGAGGCAGGUGGGGGGAAUAUUGGACAAUGGGCGAAAGCCGGCGCAAGCAAUGCCGCGUGUGUGAAGAAGGGCUUCGGAUUGUAAAGCACUUGAAGUUGGGAGGCGUUACCAACAGAAUAAGCAACGGCUAACUGCGUGCCAGCAGCCGCGGUAAUAC
rnacentral:rRNA from 1 species